rnacentral:rRNA from 1 species
UACGUAGGGGGCGAGCGUUGUCCGAAGUUACUGGGCGUAAAGAGCACGUAGGCGGUCCUUUAAGUCUGGGGUGAAAGGUUCAGCGCUCAACGCGAACAGUGCCUUGGAUACUGGGGGACUUGAGUCUGGGAGAGGGCAGUGGAAUUCCUGGUGUAGCGGUGAAAUGCGUAGAUAUCAGGAGGAACACCAGUGGCGAAGGCGGCUGCCUGGCCUAAGACUGACGCUGAGGUGCGAAAGCGUGGGGAGCGAACGGG